rnacentral:tRNA from 1 species
GGACCCGUGGCCUAGCUGGAUAGGGCGGUACCCUCCUAAGGUACAAGCCGAGCGUUCGAAUCGCUCCGGGUCCGCCA